UACGGAGGGUGCAAGCGUUAUCCGGAUUCACUGGGUUUAAAGGGUGCGUAGGUGGGUAGGUAAGUCAGUGGUGAAAUCUCCAAGCUCAACUUGGAACUGCCGUUGAUACUAUUUAUCUUGAAUAUAGUGGAGGUGAGCGGAAUAUGUCAUGUAGCGGUGAAAUGCUUAGAUAAUGACAUAGAACAUCGAUUGCGAAGGCAGCUCGCUACACUAUUAUUGACACUGAGGCACGAAAAGCGUGGGGGAUCAAAACCAGGAUUAGAAA
rnacentral:rRNA from 1 species